ensembl:piRNA 21ur-2729 ncRNA
UAGACACAGUUGAUACGAUUU